rnacentral:lncRNA from 1 species
GGGGAUUGAAAUAAGAGGAAGAGCUGGCUCUUCUACAGUAAUGCUAGCAGGAAAAUAGGGAAUAACCAGCAAAUUGACUGGCAUGUCCAGGGAAGUGAGUCAUCCAGGAUCAAAAGCCAGAGAAGUCUCAAAAUACUAUGGAUUGUUAAAGUAGAAAACUGGAACCUCAUGGGGCCAUCUUAGAUCCUCAACAGGUAUGUUCUAGAAAGCCUUUGCUGGUGUGUUCUCAAUGAAGAUGUGGUCUACAGUUUUGGUAUCCAAAGGCUACAGUGUUACAGGUAUUGCAUAUGAAUCAUGGCCAUGAAUAUCCAUGAGUGAUCUAUGUUAAAGACUGGGAUAAGGUAAAAGUACAAUGUGAUUGUCAAAUCCUAUUUUCAUUUUUCCUUCUCUCUUGUGAAAAUUUAACUCACCUAUGUUUAAUCUUCCAUUGUAUACAUGAAGGUAACAGUAAAACAUUGUGGAGAGGUAGAAUAGCAUAAAGAAUGAAAUAGUGGGCUCCAAUGCCAAACAAAUCUGGGAUCAUAUCCUGACCUGGCCACUUGCUAACUGUGUGAUCUUGGGUAAAUUACAUAACCCUUCCAAGACUUAGU